rnacentral:rRNA from 1 species
GAUGAACGCUGGCGGCGCGCCUAACACAUGCAAGUCGAACGAUUAAAGCACCUUCGGGUGUGUAUAAAGUGGCGAACGGCUGAGUAACACGUGGGCAACCUGCCCCUCUCAUUGGGAUAGCCACGGGAAACCGUGGAUAAUACCGAAUACUUCGAGUCUCCCGCAUGGAAGACUCGAGAAAGCUCCGGCGGAGAGGGAUGGGCCCGCGGCCUGUCAGCUUGUUGGUGGGGUAAUGGCCUACCAAGGCAAUGAUGGGUAGCUGGGUUGAGAGACCGACCAGCCAGAUUGGGACUGAGACACGGCCCAGACUCCUACGGGAGGCAGCAGUGGGGAAUCUUGCACAAUGGGCGAAAGCCUGAUGCAGCGACGCCGCGUGCGGGAUGAAGGCCUUCGGGUUGUAAACCGCUUUCAGCAGGGACGAGGCGAAAGUGACGGUACCUGCAGAAGAAGCCCCGGCUAACUACGUGCCAGCAGCCGCGGUAAUACGUAGGGGGCAAGCGUUAUCCGGAUUCAUUGGGCGUAAAGCGCUCGUAGGCGGUCUGUUAGGUCGGGAGUUAAAUCCGGGGGCUCAACCCCCGUUCGCUCCCGAUACCGGCAGACUUGAGUUUGGUAGGGGAAGGUGGAAUUCCUAGUGUAGCGGUGGAAUGCGCAGAUAUUAGGAAGAACACCAGUGGCGAAGGCGGCCUUCUGGGCCAUAACUGACGCUGAGGAGCGAAAGCUAGGGGAGCAAACAGG